rnacentral:rRNA from 1 species
GCACAGAGUUAGCCGGUGCUUCUUCUAUGGGUUACGUCAAGACCCCGAGGUGUUAACUCGAGGCUUUUCUUCCCCACCGAAAGGGCUUUACAACCCGCAGGCCUUCUUCACCCACGCGGCGUCGCUGGAUCAGGCUUUCGCCCAUUGUCCAAUAUUCCCCACUGCUGCCUCCCGUAGGAGUCCGGACCGUGUCUCAGUUCCGGUGUGACUGGUCGUCCUCUCAGACCAGUUACGGAUCGUCGCCUUGGUAGGCCGUUACCCUACCAACUAGCUAAUCCGACUUGGGCUCAUCUGUUAGCGCCAGGCCUUGCGGUCCCCGGCUUUCCACCGUAGUGCGUAUGCGGUAUUAGCCCGAGUUUCCCCGGGUUGUCCCCCACUAACAGGCAGAUUCCCAAGCGUUACUCACCCGUCCGCCGCUCGUCAGCAUGUAUUGCUACACCUGUUACCGCUCGACUUGCAUGUGUUAGGCACGCCGCCAGCGUUCAAU